GAAGAGUCGACCAAAGAUGAGAAAAAUGCUAUUGAAAAAUCGCCACAAUAAUAGGGAUUUUCCGGUGUAGAAUGAUUGCUCUCACAGAUGCUUUGGAUUAAUGGCAGGGGCAUCAAGAAUGCCAAUUAUGUGCUUCCAGUUUAGUUUUUUGGUUGUCGAUUAACUGAUUUAUUGGUGGAGACCGCGAAAGAGCAGGAUGGCUCAGUCAGUAAUAUCACCGUGCAGCCCACAGUUUUUCAGGCAUUGACACUAGCAGUACGUAAAGCGAGUCAAUCUAUAUGCAGUUAAGAAGAAAACGAUAAUAGAAGAUCCUUGCUUUGCCCCCAGAAGCAUGGCAAUACAGUCGAAGAAAAAUUAUAAUCAUCACAAUGUAUGUGAUGUAACACGUUUUCUAAUUUAUUUAUCAUUGAUU